GUUUGAUCCUGGCUCAGAGUGAACGCUGGCGGCAGGCCUAAUACAUGCAAGUCGAACGGCAGCACAGCAGAGCUUGCUCUGUGGGUGGCGAGUGGCGGACGGGUGAGGAAUACGUGGGAAUCUGCCCAGUCGUGGGGGAUAACGUAGGGAAACUUACGCUAAUACCGCAUGCGCCCUUCGGGGGAAAGCCGGGGACCUUCGGGCCUGGCGCGAUUGGAUGAGCCCACGUCGGAUUAGCUAGUUGGCGGGUAAAGGCCCACCAAGGCGACGAUCCGUAGCUGGUCUGAGAGGAUGAUCAGCCACACUGGAACUGAGACACGGUCCAGACUCCUACGGGAGGCAGCAGUAGGGAAUAUUGGACAAUGGGCGCAAGCCUGAUCCAGCCAUGCCGCGUGAGUGAAGAAGGCCCUCGGGUUGUAAAGCUCUUUUGUCCGGAAAGGAAAGCGCCGGGUUAAUACCCUGGUGUCCUGACGGUACCGGAAGAAUGAGCACCGGCUAACUUCGUG
rnacentral:rRNA from 1 species